GAUCUGGCUCAGGAUGAACGCUAGCUACAGGCUUAACACAUGCAAGUCGAGGGGGCAGCAUGGUCUUAGCUUGCUAAAGGCCGAUGGCGACCGGCGCACGGGUGAGUAACGCGUAUCCAACCUGCCUUACACUCUUGGACAGCCUUCUGAAAGGGAGAUUAAUACAAGAUGUUAUCAUGAGUAAGCAUUUUCGCAUGAUUAAAGGUUUACCGGUGUAAGAUGGGGAUGCGUUCC
rnacentral:rRNA from 1 species